CAGCUGUCUCUCGGCGGCUCUGUGCCUCUUGCUGCUCGGCCUCAACUAGCUCCAGCUCGAGGUGCAGCACCUGCGAGUGCCAAAGCGCGUCGGGAUUGCUAGGUUCGCAAGGACCUGGACACAGCCAGGACAGGAAUACUUUCACCAGGUAUCUGCAUCCGUCCAUGCCGAAGCUUGAGCAAAUAGCCAAUACGGCCAUGGAUUCGGUCCAAUACCCUUGAUCAGCACCCUACCUGCUUCAUAAGCAACUGCUUUUGCACGUUGAGUCGUUCUACGCGCUCCUGCGUCUCCUCAAACAUGGCCCGGUACUUCGCCACUGCCUCCUGCAUGGCGGCCACGUCUGCUUGCGCCUGCUCACGGAAGGCCCCCUUUAGCCGCGCCACUUCAGUGGCGUACC
rnacentral:lncRNA from 1 species